rnacentral:lncRNA from 10 species
UAGAGACCCAAAAUUUCAUUUGGUUAAUGUUAAGCUGUGACAAAAUCCAGAAGUUUCCAAGUUAAGGAUGAAGUUUAACAAUGUCUGUCUUUUAUUUCAACUCAGAUCCAUAUGUGUAUGAGAAGAAGAGCAGUUAUAUUCCAGGAAAAAAAAAAAAAACAUUUAUCAUGGCCUUGAUGUGCUUUUACCUAGAGCUUUUACGUAAGUUAUUGGAUUUAGUUCUUCACAGCAAUUUUUAAGGUAGGUAUUAUCAGCUCUAUUUUUAGUUAAAAACCUGAAUAUCAGGGAUAUCAAGUAACUUGUCCAUGUUCCCAGGACCAGUAAGUAGUAGAGCCAAGAUCUGAACCCAGAUCUGCUGGCUCCAAAGCCUGGGUUCUUCCCUUGCACAAUGCUGACCAAAACCUACUAGCACAAUUUCAGUUUUUGCUCUCAUAUAUGUAAAGUAAAAGUAAGGCUGCUCCAUACAGAAUCUUAGUCUGUGUACUGUACAGCUCCAAGAGGUGCCAUGGAAUUGUGCAACCGAGGUGGCCUUUAGUAAAAACAUAGUAUGAUAUGGCUGUUCUGGGGGCUUUCCAGUCCUCUAAAUCCUCUAGGUAAGGUCUUUCCACAAGACAGUGGCAGGCAAUGGAAAAAGCAGCCCACUGAUGGAUUCCAGAAUUAUCUCAGCGUGGCAUAACAAAUGGGGCAUACAGAAGUGGGGAGAUGUGUGUGCUAAUUCUCAUGCUGAAAUUAAUUCACUGGCUCACCUGAACCUUAGGUUAGCAAAAGGUCCUCACUGGUUCAGUUUCCUCACCUGAGCAAUGAAUGAGAGUGGACUCAAUUACUGGAUUUCAAGAUUGCUUUUAGGUUGUAGAAAUCUUACGCAGAAAUGCAAUGCACAAAGCAGGCAAAUGCAAAGGUGGGGACUGGGAAGAAGGAACUUGGAGCCUGCUUACUCACUCAGCUCCCUCCUCCUUUCCAACCUGCACCUCUGAACACAGCUGGCCAAAGCUGGCACUUGAUGAUCUUUCCAUAUCUAAAAAUCCUAAUAUUUUAUAGUUCUGUGCAGAUUAUCCAUGUUCUGAGUAACUGCAGUGAAUUGCUCUCAGUGAAUUACCUAAACUGCUUGUGAGGGACCAAGUCUAGUGUGAGAGAAAUAUCUACACAGAGCAGAACACUGAAUGUGUCAGUGCCAAUGAAUAAUGCUUUAUCCAGUUGAGUUUCAACCUGAAACAUGAAACCCCAGCAGUGAGCCCAUCAGGGGUUCACUGGAAAAUACGUGCACAGCCAACCUCCAGAGCCCCACAAUGGGUUUUGUUGUGUAGCAAUGGGGGUGAGGGGGGAAAGGAGGAGGAGGGAAUCCAAGGGAACAAUGUCUAUUGCUUCAGCCAAAGGACUUAAUAAUUAGCUGUGACUAACAAAUACCACAUGGGAACCAACUUGUAAAAAAAUGUCCCACAAAGCACCCUAUUGCCAGUGGGCCAAUUUGAGCCUGCAACCUCUCCCCUUCUAGGGAGAGAUUAGAAAACUAGAAGGAAGGAGAGCAACUCCAUCUGCCUGAAGCCACUGGACCAAAGACUCAGAUGGAUGGAAGCUGGGGAUGCUUUCAAAGCACCCUCCCCCUUGCUCUUGAAAUUGUAAGCACUUGGCCUCCCUGGGCUGAAAUUCCAGGGGCAGGGGCUAAGGGAGUUAACAUAGGCAGAACUUACUCCAAACAAUGUCAAUACAAAACAGGUUUUCUUUAUGGAAGCAAGUUAGGACGAAAUCGCUGAAAAGGUCAUCUGUGUUUGCAGUACACAGUACGGUGGUGCAGGCAGAAGGGAGGUGCCAAGCCAUAAAUCCAGGGAGGCUUGGACAGGUGAAUAGCAAUUUACUCCCCCACAAACUUCAGUGGGGGCUGGGUGCGUCCUAGGAAAGCAGGAUUUGGAAACAGGAAGUUGGUGCCUGUUAUCCUCAGGUGGGCUACUCAGGGUCACAGCCCUGGUGUUACAAAUCAACGUCCACAAAUUUUCAAUGCACAGACAGGUCCUGAGCUGGCUGCAUCAAAAAGACUUGGGUUCUUAUUACUAUAGUCUUCUGGGCACCUUCUGCAGGGAUUACAGCUUGGAAGCCUUGGGGCAGCUGUGCUCGGAUUUGGCACAGAAGCUGUGAAGGGGAAAGUGCAAAGAUCACAUAGCACCCAGACUUUAGGAGCUGGCAGGUUGGCUGUGCCAGUUAGCGUAACGAGCACCUGCAGGCUCUUUAAAAGUUAGCCAUUCUUAUUUUGAAGGCAACGGUUAAGAGCAUGGAUUAUGGAGUCAAACAGACCCAAGUUCAAGUUCCAGACUGGCCAAUUAUUGGCUUCUCUGGACUUCAGUUUUUACAAAUAAAAACAGAAUGUUUGCCUAUGUGGAUAAAGUGAAUGAACUUUUGUAAAAUUUUUGGCACAGAGGGUUAAUGUACAGCUUUUAAUUUACAUAUGAUAUAUAUUAACACAUACAUGUAUGUGUGUGUACAUAUAUACAUACACAGAGAGAAUUGCUCACAUUAUUUUUUUCUUCCUAGAAUUUCCCAAGCCAUGGUCCAUCAAAUCAUAGACCCUCCUGCUCCAGACUUUUGAAAGUCCCCAAUGCAUAGGCAAGCAUUUCUAGAUGGCUAGACAGAGCCUGAUUUCCUCUGGCUGAUUACUUAUUAAAAGGUACUUCCUCAGUUCACUUUUGAGUGGAAGUUUUUCAGAAAGCCAUUCGCUCACUCGCUCACUUGCUCGCUCCCUCACUGGCUCAGUCUUGCAUGGACAAUCCUGUGGAAUGCAAGAGCACAGGGCAAAACGGUUAGUCAAGGCUGCUUAGCCAGCUAGUACAGGUGGUCAGAUUUUGACAAGAUCUUAAAUUGGGGAAGUUCAGACAAGCGGUUACUUUGGGUCCUUGGAAUAUUUAUAAUAGGGGGUGAAGAGAGGUUCACCGAAGGAAUUGACAAGCUACUAAUUAAUGCCAUCACUGCUGCCUGGCACCUCUAUUAAGCAAAACUCAGAAACCGGGAGCCAAUUUUCACAUACGCUUUCUUUUCUAAAUGGUAGCCCUUCUGAAUUGCAACCUUCUUCACGCCUGGCACUCCCAGCCGCCAUCGGCCCCUCUCCGACUGCACAUCACACCAGGUCCAAGAGAAGCUAAUUUAACCACCGCUGGUUAAAAUCAUACUGCACUUCACAGCGCCUUUCACAUGCCAUGAAGCUGUCAUGAUAAUUCUUGAUCUCUAGCUCACCUGACAGCUCAGCCCUCCCUUGACUGCAAAGCUUCCCCGUCAGUUAGAAAUAGCAGUUUUCCUGGCACCAGAUGUGUCAUCUUGAAUAUCCAGAUGAAAGGCAGACACCUGGCCCCUGCUCCCUCCCCUCCCUGCCUCGUUUUCCCUUCUUAGCUCUGGAUUUUGUUUAGGAAGGCCAUGUACCACCCCACCCCCAACUCCCAAGUCCCUCCUCUGGGCAGCCUGGAAGUUCCUCUUCUGCACAAUUCAAAAGAUGUCUUGCAUUAGCCCACAGAGCAACUUCACACCUUGUGCAGCAAAGAGACACACACACACCAAUUGACAUCGCUAGGAGAGGGAAGGAAAACUUAACAUCAGGGCAAGAUUUCCACCCCUUUGCAGCUGCUUGGGAAGCCUGGCUAGCCCAAACCACCAGCCCAGCUGCCUCCAAAGGGUAGUGCUGGCUUCUCUCUCACCAGCUGUCUGAUCCCAUCUCUUCACUACGACUUUGUAGCUUGGUCUUUCGUUAUGAGAUCCUUGGGAUGAAAAGAGAUAUUGUUUUGAUAAAGGGCAGGCCUGGGUGAAUAAUGUGGUCUGUGUGUCAUGGACAGGAAAGGAACAAAUUGUGCCUGAGGUGGUCACCUGAGCCCCAUGAGCUACUCAUGGGGGCUUCUUAAACCCAGGCAGCACACGUGGACAUCUUUACAAACACACCCGCUGUGUCCCUUUUUUGUAACUAAUAAAGAACAAGUGUCAGCAUUAAGCCUCUGUUACCGAUUUUCUUUUCCUCUGCUGGAAAGGAGGUGGUGUAAGCAGAGUUUACUGUAGAAACCAAGAAACAAAAGACAACAUGACCAGUUUUCGAACUUGGCGUGCUCUGAAUUAUUAAAAAUAAUCUUAUAGUGUCCGCCCAGCCCUCUCAAGCAUACCUGCCUUUAAUCUUGUAAACAAGUUCAUAGCAGGAAGGGGAAUAUUUUCAAUCUGUUUCCUUCUACAUGGCUGUAAGAAACAUGACGCCCAUCCAUCAUGCAAAGAGAGCCUGACGAGGCAGAGGAAAGAUCAUGGCAGGACUUCUGUCUUGGUGGACAGAUGUAGGAUGUGGAUACCAAAGAAUUGAGUAGAUCUGUCACAAAGCAAUGGAAGAUGACAUUUGAUAUGGGUGGGCCAACUGCGAAUAAAAAGAAGACGUUCACUUGGGAGAUAGAAAAGAGAAGUUCUAGUCAUGACUUUUCCAAUUUACUUGCUAUAUAACCUUGAAUAAGUACCCUCUCUGAAUUCCUGUCUCCUUACCUGUGGAAUGAAGACAAAAAUUCCUAAGGCUCUAGCAAGAUUGUCAAACAAAGGCCUAUAUGUGUGAGUUGCAAAUAAAAGGAAAGCACCUUCUGAUAAGUGUCUUCUAAUUCCCAUGUCAUUUCUUGUCCCUGUGGCCUGUUUGUGCUGUUUGAAAGCUCGGGGGAAUUGGAAUAAGUGACAAGGAGGUCAGAUGUAAGUUAAAGUGUUAGCCCCCAUUUAUCUACCAUUUUGGCUCUAAACGACUAGUUUCAGUCCAGACCGAUUUAGUAAAGUGAGAAAACUGUGACUGCAAACUGGCAGUACACACAAUCAGAGGAAUGAGUAAAAAGCUUAGACUGCCCUUCAAUUCAGAGGUUAAAGCAAGCACACAGACCCGGUGUCUCCCUCACUGUGUGCCAGCCAACCAUAUAUUAUUAAUUGGGCUCAACAAACAUUAUUGAGCACCUUCUACUGCAAAACUCUGGCAGGGCGCUCUGGGGAGAUCUAAAUGCAAUGUGAGGCAAUGCCCCACUCUUCACCAACCUGCCAUCUGGUUGGGAUAACAAGAUCAUCACAGGCAAAACUGUUCUCCCAUAUCUCUGCCCAUUAAAAUUUCACUGAGCCCUCAAGGCUCAAUUCAUAAUUAGAUUUUCCCCAAGAAGCUUUCCCCAAUCCCCUCAGCCCUUUGUUUAAUCCUCAUUUCUGGAAUUUGUCAUGCUCUGCAUUAUAACUUGCUUGUGUGUG